AUUGAACGCUGGCGGGAUGCUUUACACAUGCAAGUCGAACGAGUGGCGGACGGGUGAGUAAUAUAUAGGAACGUGCCCAGUAGCGGGGGAUAACUACUGGAAAGGGUGGCUAAUACCGCAUACCAUUGGAGCGGCCGAUAUCGGAUUAGCUAGUUGGUGAGGUAACGGCUCACCAAGGCAACUAUCCCUAGCUGGUCUGAGAGGAUGAUCAGGCACACGGGGACUGAGACACGGCCCAGACUCCUACGGUAGUCAGCAGUGGGGAUGAUUGCACAAUGGGCGCAAGCCUGAUGCAGCCAUGCCGCGUGUAUGAAGAAGGCCUUCGGGUUGUAAAGUCCUUUCAGUCGGGAGGCGUUACCGGCAGAAGAAGCCCCGGCUAACUCCGUGCCAGCAGCCGCGGUAAUUC
rnacentral:rRNA from 1 species